GGCAAGACGGAAAGACCCCGUGAACCUUUACUAUAGCUUGACACUGAACAUUGAGCCUUGAUGUGUAGGAUAGGUGGGAGGCUUUGAAGUGUGGACGCCAGUCUGCAUGGAGCCGACCUUGAAAUACCACCCUUUAAUGUUUGAUGUUCUAACGUGGACCCGUGAUCCGGGUUGCGGACAGUGUCUGGUGGGUAGUUUGACUGGGGCGGUCUCCUCCUAAAGAGUAACGGAGGAGCACGAAGGUUGGCUAAUCCUGGUCGGACAUCAGGAGGUUAGUGCAAUGGCAUAAGCCAGCUUGACUGCGAGCGUGACGGCGCGAGCAGGUGCGAAAGCAGGUCAUAGUGAUCCGGUGGUUCUGAAUGGAAGGGCCAUCGCUCAACGGAUAAAAGGUACUCCGGGGAUAACAGGCUGAUACCGCCCAAGAGUUCAUAUCGACGGCGGUGUUUGGCACCUCGAUGUCGGCUCAUCACAUCCUGGGGCUGAAGUAGGUCCCAAGGGUAUGGCUGUUCGCCAUUUAAAGUGGUACGCGAGCUGGGUUUAGAACGUCGUGAGACAGUUCGGUCCCUAUCUGCCGUGGGCGCUGGAGAACUGAGGGGGGCUGCUCCUAGUACGAGAGGACCGGAGUGGACGCAUCACUGGUGUUCGGGUUGUCAUGCCAAUGGCACUGCCCGGUAGCUAAAUGCGGAAGAGAUAAGUGCUGAAAGCAUCUAAGCACGAAACUUGCCCCGAGAUGAGUUCUCCCUGAGACUUUAGGUCUCCUGAAGGAACGUUGAAGACGACGACGUUGAUAGGCCGGGUGUGUAAGCGCAGCGAUGCGUUGAGCUAACCGGUACUAAUGAACCGUGAGGCUUAACCUUACAACGCCGAAG
rnacentral:rRNA from 1 species